CUGGGCUCAGGAGCACAUGGUCUGCAGCUGCUAGAGGAGGUUCCAGGGGAGAUCCGGGAAAUUACAGGCCAGUCAGCCUGACGUCAAUACCGGCUCUUCUUUUGCAGGUGACAAGCAGCCCUGCAACACUUAUCUCAAAGAAGAGGAAUGUUUUGACUACGGCCCUUCCAGCCUUGGGAAAGUUUCACUCUCUCAGCUUCAA